rnacentral:lncRNA from 1 species
UAUUGUUUAUGAAAAAUUUCUUACUAUUGAACAUUUCUUUAGAUAUCCUGCAAAUUCUUUCGAAUGUUUUGGUAUAGUAAAGGUCUCUAAGUUAUCAUGUCAGUAUGAAUCUGCCACAACAGAUGAAAUACAGAAAAAAUAUGUUAUACUACCAUGCAAGUCCAAAUUUGUUUGUAUUCCUCUGCCUAUGAAGCCUCAAAUGCAUAAAUAAUAAACUGGAAUUUUUUUUUUUCUUUUUUUGCUAAAUUUUUGUAUUAGCGCUCAUUUGCAUAUCAGUAUUAGUAUUUGGUAUUACUGAUUUUUAUGUUUAUCUUUUUAUUUCAGUUAGUAAUGUAAUAUUUAGUUGAAUUUGAGGAUAAAGUGGCGGUGGUUCCUGAUUGCUGGUUGUUACAAGAAUCAGCUACAUGUUAUUGGCCUCAGGGAAUUGGUGCUAAACAAUGGUCAAAAAUGAAAAAGUUAUUAAUUCCUAAUCACAAAGAUUGGCUUCUUUAUUCUUAUAUAAGAAUAUUGAAAAUUGGAGACUAUGAAAAAAUGAAAAAGGCAGAGGCUAAAUCUUUGCACUACACAAAUUUUUCUUCAAGUUGUUCGGAAAUAAAACAUGAUUUAAAGAGGAAAAAUUUGCAAACACAAUGGAGUCCUGACAUUUCAAUUGAGAAAAAGGUAAAAAAGUGAAAAUUCGAAAAUCAAGAAAAAGAAAAAAUCAUGUAGACAGUCAACUUCAACCACUUCCACAGACCGAAUUGAUAAACCUUCAGCUAGUUCUAGCACAGACAUCAUAUCUUCAAUUCGAGGUAAUGGCAAUGGUUCAAUGUUGUAGUUUAUUAAAGAAAUCCACUAGCUGUUUUGGCCUCAGGGAAUAGGUGCCACAAAAUAGGCAAAAUAAGAAAUGCACUCAUAUUAAAUAAUAAACACUGACCUAUCUAUCCAUAAUUAUGGUUAUUGAAAAGUAGAGGGUUCGAGCUCAAGCUAAGAAGAAGAACUACAAACGCCACAAACGAUGAUGCAUUAAUCACUUCCUACACCACUACAUCUAUAUGUCUAAUUGUACUUACAUUUCACAAAAGGUUUGGUAAACCAGAGCUGAAAGCUGAUGUUAAUGAGCAGUGGCAGAAACAAGCCUGCAUCGGACAAACCAUUAAUGCACCUCUCUCAGAUGCCUUGACUUUUCCACUCCAAGAGAUAAAUGAUCUUCUGGAAAAUCAACCCAAUUGCAAGAUUCUGAGUAGUGAUCAAGAACAGUGCAGUAAGAAAACUAUCCCUAAGCGACAAUAAGUCAACCGGACGAGAUGCUGCCAAAAUGGCUAUCAAGUUCAAUUGACAUGGAUGGUCUCGAAAAAAUCGCUAGGAGAGGCGUAGAGGAAAGUUCUUUAGAAGAUAUUUAAUUUUUAUAUUAAAUGUA